AGAAGAAGAAGAAGAAGAAGAUGGAAGGAUGAUGAUGAUGAUUAUGAGUCAACAAAUAACAACGCAAAGGAAAACACACAACAAAGAAAGAAAGAUGCAAAUAUACAUAUAGAUACGGAGAGGGAGAGCGUGUCUCUCUGUGAUUGUGUGUGUGUGUGUGUGCCUGUUUGUUGUUUAUAUAUUCUGCAAGGAUGAGAGAAGCAAGCAGAGAAAUUCCAACACCUCUACAAAAUCGGUGCCAUU
rnacentral:misc_RNA from 1 species